AGGGAAUUUUCCACAAUGGACGAAAGUCUGAUGGAGCAACGCCGCGUGAACGAUGAAGGUCUUCGGAUUGUAAAGUUCUGUUGUCAGGGACGAACAAGUACCGUUCGAACAGGGCGGUACCUUGACGGUACCUGACGAGAAAGCCACGGCUAACUACGUGCCAGCAGCCGCGGUAAUACGUAGGUGGCAAGCGUUGUCCGGAUUUAUUGGGCGUAAAGCGCGCGCAGGCGGCUAUGUAAGUCUGGUGUUAAAGCCCGGGGCUCAACCCCGGUUCGCAUCGGAAACUGUGUAGCUUGAGUGCAGAAGAGGAGAGUGGAAUUCCACGUGUAGCGGUGAAAUGCGUAGAGAUGUGGAGGAACACCAGUGGCGAAGGCGGCUUUCUGGUCUGUAACUGACGCUGAGGCGCGAAAGCGUGGGGAGCAAAC
rnacentral:rRNA from 1 species